UACGUAUGUCGCAAGCGUUAUCCGGAUUUAUUGGGCGUAAAGCGCGUCUAGGCGGUUUGGUAAGUCUGAUGUGAAAAUGCGGAGCUCAACUCCGUAUUGCGUUGGAAACUGCCAAACUAGAGUACUGGAGAGGUGGGCGGAACUACAAGUGUAGAGGUGAAAUUCGUAGAUAUUUGUAGGAAUGCCGAUGGGGAAGCCAGCCCACUGGACAGAUACUGACGCUAAAGCGCGAAAGCGUGGGUAGCAAACAGG
rnacentral:rRNA from 1 species